CCUACGGGAGGCAGCAGUGGGGAAUAUUGCACAAUGGGGGAAACCCUGAUGCAGCGACGCCGCGUGAGUGAAGAAGUAUUUCGGUAUGUAAAGCUCUAUCUGCAGGGAAGAAAAUGACGGUACCUGAUUAAGAAGCUCCGGCUAAAUACGUGCCAGCAGCCGAGGGAAUACGGAGGCGGCGAGCGUUAUCCGGAUUUACUGGGUGUAAAGGGAGCGUAGACGGCAGCACAAGUCUGGAGUGAAAGGCCGGGGCUUAACCACGGAACUGCUUUUGAAACUGUGCAGCUAGAGUGCAGGAGAGGCAAGUGGAAUUCCUAGUGUAGCGGUGAAAUGCGUAGAUAUUAGGAGGAACACCAGUGGCGAAGGCGGCUUACUGGACUGUAACUGACGCUGAGGCUCGAAAGCGUGGGGAGCAAACAGGAUUAGAUACCCCUGUAGUC
rnacentral:rRNA from 1 species